rnacentral:rRNA from 1 species
CCUACGGGUGGCUGCAGUGGGGAAUAUUGCACAAUGGGCGCAAGCCCGAUGCAGCCAUGCCGCGUGUGUGAAGAAGGCCUUCGGGUUGUAAAGCACUUUCAGCGGGGAGGUAGGCGUUAAGGUUAAUAACCUUGGCGAUUGACGUUACCCGCAGAAGAAGCACCGGCUAACUCCGUGCCAGCAGCCGCGGUAAUACGGAGGGUGCAAGCGUUAAUCGGAAUUACUGGGCGUAAAGCGCACGCAGGCGGUCUGUCAAGUCGGAUGUGAAAUCCCCGGGCUCAACCUGGGAACUGCAUUCGAAACUGGCAGGCUAGAGUCUUGUAGAGGGGGGUAGAAUUCCAGGUGUAGCGGUGAAAUGCGUAGAGAUCUGGAGGAAUACCGGUGGCGAAGGCGGCCCCCUGGACAAAGACUGACGCUCAGGUGCGAAAGCGUGGGGAGCAAACAGGAUUAGAUACCCCUGUAGUC